AUGUGCGAGAACCUAGUCGGCCUCAUCUGGUGGCCUCCGAGCCAAACGUGCCACAUUGGCGUGUCAUGGGGGCCUCUAAGAGGUGCCCCCAGCCGUCCGAUCGGUCCAGACGGCUCAGCCCCAAGCGACCAGGCUCGGAGGUGCAUGACGGGUGGGUCUCUGAGGGCGCUUGGCUCGGACUCGGGCGACCAGGCUAGGAGGUUCGAUGGGUGGACCACGGUUCGGCGGUUCGGGGGUGCCUGCAGGAGCCUUUUCGCGUGCCAAGCCAGACCCGCCUGUCGGCGUUGUGACCUCGUGUCUGGCUGGUCUGGUUGCGACAGGUGGGGCAGGCGACGCGGUCGCAGUGCCAUCUCACUCGCGUGCCGUGCCAGACGGACCUGUCUGUCGGUUUCCCUGGGGUUCACUGGCGGGACGCCUGCACCGGCUGGCGCGAGGGUCCCCUUUGUCGAGAUGGACAAAGGCAAGAAGGUCGUGCCACCAUUGGAGAAGGGCAAGGAGGUCGUGCUGCCAUUGGCCAAAGUGCCGGUGCGGGAUCACCAAAGCUCCAAACGGAGGAACUAUGGACACUACCAUGAGGAGUCAGGACCAAGCCACUUCUGCAAGGUUAUCCUUACUCUGAAACUGGAGAGUCUGCCAAUGCCUAUGGAGUUCACGAAGCACUUCCCCGUCGUCCCUGCAGAGUUCAAGCUCAAAACGAACACUGGCAGCGCAUGA
rnacentral:rRNA from 1 species